GGUGAAUACAUCCUACUGACUGUGCUCUACAUCUUCUGCAGGAAUGGAGGCAAUGUCGCAAGGCGUGACCAGUACAGCGAUGCUGUUAAAGGACCCCAGGGGAAGAACCGCUACCUGACUGUUCAAAGGAGAAACCGAGGCUCAGGAGUGGAAAGACAUCUCCCAGACCUGAUGACCAACAGGGCAGAGGCAGAGACACCACGGGGAAAACACUUGAAGAGGGACAGUGACGAAGAUGGGAGUUAGGGGCGAGGGAGGCGCAAAGGAUGUGGUGACGGAGACUUCUCUAACAACGCACAUCUGUGGGGGCAUUUUCCUUGGUUCCUAAUUGAUGGAGGAGGGCCUAGCCCACUGUGGACAGCACCACUCCUAGGCACGAGGCCCUGGAUUGUAUAAGAAGACCUGUCAAGUAGGAGGCCAAGUGAAGUCAGCUGGCGAGCCUGCUGUAGACCCUGCUCUCUGCUCCAGUUUUCCUGCCUUGAGUUCUGCCUUAGCUUCCCUUGAUGUUGGACUGUAAGCUGUGAAAUGAAUUAAACCAUUUCCUUUC